rnacentral:tRNA from 1 species
GGCUUUAUAUUCAAUUUUGUGAUUUUAGACUGCAAUUCUAAAGGGGUAAAUAAAUUUACUAAAGCUU